rnacentral:lncRNA from 1 species
GGUUUUGCUGCACCAUCGUGAUCAAACCAGUCUUAAGCUCGAAAUUAUUCGCGUUGACUCUUGGAGGCUCGUAGUACUGAUACUGCGGAGUGAACGCCUCAUUGAUCGGAGGCUGCUUCUGAACCUCGCGGUUUUCCUGCGCCUCAAUCAAAUGCUGCAGUUGCUCCUUGAGAGCACGAACUUCUUCUACGGUAGCCAUAGAACUACCUAGCAAACUUCAGAACCAAAAAUCAGGACCACAGGAAAAAAAUAAAGAACAGAAUUUAAAUAAACAGAAAAAAAAUCCAGAUUAGUAUCAAAUAAUUAACAGAUAGUACUGAUAAAAAUCAGUCCCCGGCAACGGCGCCAAAAACUUGUUCGCUAUUUUAUUAACACGCCGCAAGUGUACGGGUGCAAUUGUGUAUAGCAGUGACAAGGUCGAAUCCACAGGGACUAAUGG